GUAGGUGAACCUGCGGAAGGAUCAUUAUCGUAGGGCUUCGGCCCUGUCGAGAUAGAACCCUUGCCUUUUUAAGUACCUUUCGUUUCCUCGGCAGGCUCGCCUGCCGAUGGACCCCCCAAAAAACACUUUGCAGUACCUGUAAUAGUCUGAACAACAAACAAAAAAAUUAAAACUUUCAACAACGGAUCUCUUGGUUCUG
rnacentral:misc_RNA from 1 species